AAUGAACGCUGGCGGUAUGCCUAACACAUGCAAGUCGAACGGGAGCACAGGAAGAACUUGCGCAUGGGUGCGUAGAGCGGGGGACGGGGGAGGAAGACAUGGGAAAAUACUUUGACGUGGGGGAUAACGGAGGGAAACGUACUCGGAUAACGCAUACGUCCUACGGGGGAGAGCAGGGGAUGGUCGGACUCGUCGCGAGGGAAAGAGCCGAUGUCGGAUUGGCUAGUUGGCGGGGUAAAGGGCCAACAAGGCGACAAUGCGUAGCUGGUCUGAGAGGAUGAUCCGACACACUGGCACUGAGAAACGGCACCGACUCUUACGCGAGGAAGCAGUGGGGAAUAUUGGACGAUGCGGGAAUGCCUGAUCCAGCCCUACCGACUGGGUGCAGAACGACUUAUGGUUGUAAAGCCCUUUUGUUGGGAAAGAAAAGAAGCAGGUUAACCCCCCGCUGUUCUGACGGUACCCAAAGAAUAAGCACCGGCUAACUUCGUG
rnacentral:rRNA from 1 species